CGCCAUUCUUAAUUAGAGCAAAGAAGAAUUAAUCAGAAACAAUUUUUGGGGCUGUUCGUUUUCGUCCACGAGGUGACUGCUGCUCGCUAAGAAGAA